rnacentral:rRNA from 1 species
GAUGAACGCUGGCUACAGGCUUAACACAUGCAAGUCGAGGGGAAACGACGGGGAAGCUUGCUUCCCCGGGCGUCGACCGGCGCACGGGUGAGUAACGCGUAUCCAACCUGCCUCUGACUGAGGGAUAACCCGUCGAAAGUCGGCCUAAUACCUCAUGGCAUCGUCUGCGGGCAUCCAACGACGAUUAAAGAUUUCAUCGGUCGGGGAUGGGGAUGCGUCUGAUUAGCUUGUUGGCGGGGUAACGGCCCACCAAGGCUACGAUCAGUAGGGGUUCUGAGAGGAAGGUCCCCCACAUUGGAACUGAGACACGGUCCAAACUCCUACGGGAGGCAGCAGUGAGGAAUAUUGGUCAAUGGGCGGGAGCCUGAACCAGCCAAGUAGCGUGCAGGAUGACGGCCCUAUGGGUUGUAAACUGCUUUUAUGCGGGGAUAAAGUGAGGGACGUGUCCUUCAUUGCAGGUACCGCAUGAAUAAGGACCGGCUAAUUCCGU